GACGAACGCUGUCGGCGUGCUUAACACAUGCAAGUCGAACGGAAAGGCCCUGCUUUUGUGGGGUGCUCGAGUGGCGAACGGGUGAGUAACACGUGAGUAACCUGCCCUUGACUUUGGGAUAACUUCAGGAAACUGGGGCUAAUACCGGAUAGGAGCUCCUGCUGCAUGGUGGGGGUUGGAAAGUUUCGGCGGUUGGGGAUGGACUCGCGGCUUAUCAGCUUGUUGGUGGGGUAGUGGCUUACCAAGGCUUUGACGGGUAGCCGGCCUGAGAGGGUGACCAGCCACAUUGGGACUGAGAUACGGCCCAGACUCCUACGGGAGGCAGCAGUGGGGAAUAUUGCACAAUGGGCGGAAGCCUGAUGCAGCAACGCCGCGUGCGGGAUGACGGCCUUCGGGUUGUAAACCGCUUUCGCCUGUGACGAAGCGUGAGUGACGGUAAUGGGUAAAGAAGCACCGGCUAACUACGUGCCAGCAGCCGCGGUGAUACGUAGGGUGCGAGCGUUGUCCGGAUUUAUUGGGCGUAAAGGGCUCGUAGGUGGUUGAUCGCGUCGGAAGUGUAAUCUUGGGGCUUAACCCUGAGCGUGCUUUCGAUACGGGUUGACUUGAGGAAGGUAGGGGAGAAUGGAAUUCCUGGUGGAGCGGUGGAAUGCGCAGAUAUCAGGAGGAACACCAGUGGCGAAGGCGGUUCUCUGGGCCUUUCCUGACGCUGAGGAGCGAAAGCGUGGGGAGCGAACAGGCUUAGAUACCCUGGUAGUCCACGCUGUAAACGGUGGGUACUAGGUGUGGGGUCCAUUCCACGGGUUCCGUGCCGUAGCUAACGCUUUAAGUACCCCGCCUGGGGAGUACGGCCGCAAGGCUAAAACUCAAAGGAAUUGACGGGGCCCCGCACAAGCGGCGGAGCAUGCGGAUUAAUUCGAUGCAACGCGUAGAACCUUACCUGGGUUUGACAUGGAUCGGGAGUGCUCAGAGAUGGGUGUGCCUCUUUUGGGGUCGGUUCACAGGUGGUGCAUGGCUGUCGUCAGCUCGUGUCGUGAGAUGUUGGGUUAAGUCCCGCAACGAGCGCAACCCUUGUUCACUGUUGCCAGCACGUUAUGGUGGGGACUCAGUGGAGACCGCCGGGGUCAACUCGGAGGAAGGUGGGGAUGACGUCAAGUCAUCAUGCCCCUUAUGUCCAGGGCUUCACGCAUGCUACAAUGGCUGGUACAGAGAGUGGCGAGCCUGUGAGGGUGAGCGAAUCUCGGAAAGCCGGUCUCAGUUCGGAUUGGGGUCUGCAACUCGACCUCAUGAAGUCGGAGUCGCUAGUAAUCGCAGAUCAGCAACGCUGCGGUGAAUACGUUCCCGGG
rnacentral:rRNA from 1 species